rnacentral:piRNA from 1 species
GGACCUACUGAGUGCUCGCAGGUGUGCA